GUGGGGAAUAUUGCGCAAUGGGCGAAAGCCUGACGCAGCGACGCCGCGUGAGGGAUGAAGGUUUUCGGAUCGUAAACCUCUGUCAGAAGGGAAGAAACUACAUUGUGCUAAUCAGCAGUGUACUGACGGUACCUUCAAAGGAAGCACCGGCUAACUCCGUGCCAGCAGCCGCGGUAAUACUGAGGGUGCAAGCGUUAAUCGGAAUUACUGGGCGUAAAGCGCACGUAGGCUGUAGUGUAAGUCAGGGGUGAAAUCCCACGGCUCAACCGUGGAACUGCCUUUGAUACUGCACAACUUGAAUCCGGGAGAGGGUGGCGGAAUUCCAGGUGUAGGAGUGAAAUCCGUAGAUAUCUGGAGGAACAUCAGUGGCGAAGGCGGCCACCUGGACCGGUAUUGACGCUGAGGUGCGAAAGCGUGGGGAGCAAACAGGAUUAGAUACCCGGGUAGUCC
rnacentral:rRNA from 1 species